UUCCAAUUUAUAUUUCAAUUAUCAACUUAACGCAAAUCACUUGAUCCAUCAUAUAUUUCUACUGGAAAUUACAAAACACAACACAGGAAAAAACUAAAGAGAUUACAAAUAAAGAUACAUAAUACAAACAUCCCAAGUCUUUAGACUAAUUACAGACCCUAGCUAACACUAUAUAUACACUGCUAGUUCCCACACAGCAUAUGGAUAUCCAUAACAACACCAGUAGGAGAAAUUUUCACCAAAGUGAGAAGCAUAUGACUUAGAAUGGUUAGAAGCAUAGGCUGCUUCAAAAAAUAAACUUGUAAAGAAUGGCAAGAAUCAUAUUUCUUCUCAGCACCAGUAGAAGAAAUGCAACAAAAUCAGACCCAUGUCGACUUCUUGGAAUGUUAAAUCUGGAAAAAUAAAAUUCAACAUAAGAGAUGUUUAACUUAACAGAAGUGAUAAACUUUAGAAACAUUAGUUGCUAAAGUAAUGGUUAAUGAAAAGGCUUUCAAGUGAAAUUUAAAAGUCUAUCAAGUUUGAUAAAUUAGAAUAUAAAUACAACAAUGUCAAGAGUUCCAAAAAAAGGCUUACAAAAGCUCAUGGACACACAUUAAGCAUCUGCUACAAAAGCUCGUUUGAAAGUUGUAAAUUCUAGUUUAAGUUAAAAAGACAAUAAUAAUGAAUCCCUAAUAUAUAGAUUGUUGUACACUAUUAUAUAGAUUUACAUGAGUUUAAAGUGCUGUUACAGAGAGAGAAAACUGAAGCUAAUAAUAGAAGGUUGUUACAGGGCUAUAGAGCAAAAGACAGAUAAGGCUAAAACAUAUUUACAACUUACGAAUCCAAAAUUAUUAACAUAAAGAUAGAAUAGCAGUAACUAUAUUGUGAGAACUACAAUAAAAAGCCGUGAUAAUAGCAAAAUCCAUCUGCAAAACUAUGGACUUAAUUUGAAGUGGGGACAGGAACCUGAUGACAAACUGUUUUGAGUAGUCUGUCCAGCUCUAUACAUUCAAAUUUGCUGCUUAGUGAUGAGUCAUUUAUUGACUAUUUUAAUAUGCUUUUUAGUUUAGUUUUAUUUAGAUUUUAUUUAAUUUUAUAUUAGUAUUAUUUCCUUUUUAGGAUAGUUUACUUUAAAUUGCAUUUUAUUAUAUUUUAGAAUAUUGGAUGGAUUGAAUCUUGGAGCAAAAGAAAGGGACUUGGAGCCGAUUGGAUGCAAAAAUACGAAGAUUGAGAGACAAAAAUAUGUCUCCCACAAGUCAGAAGCUUGGCACGGCCCGUGCUAGGCUUGGCACGGCCAUGCCACCCUCCAGAGUGCCUUUUGCUGCUUUUGCUUAGAUUUUAAGCUACUCUAUUUUUAGCCCAAAUGUAAUAGCUUAGAUUUUAAGUCGAUCGAAUGCUAUAAAUAGAGUAGUCACCCAUCACAAAUAUUCAUCUUUACUUGGAAUUCAAUAAGUGACAAUUGCUUUUCUAAUUAAAGUUCUUUUCUUUUCUUUUACUUUCUUGUCAUUUACUUUUAUGCUUUCUCUCUUCUCCCCCAUGUCUACGAUGAACAUGAGUGAGUAGACUUCUCCUUGUCUUGGGAUUGUUGGAUAAGUCUAAAUGACAUAAUCCUAAUCAAACCAAGCUCUAAGCCUUAAUCUUAUGUAACCCUAAUUUCUUAUCUAAAUUCACCGUUUUAACAUGGAUCAACCAUUAUCAAACUGUGGAAACGAAAGUGGAGGGUUUGAUAAUUGUUUAUCCAUUAUUCCAAAUAUCAAUUCAUAAAACGAAAGUGGAGUUUUGAUAUUCGAACAAGUGAAUUUAGACAAGGAUUGCAAAGUCAGCGAAAUAGGCUUUGCAAUCUUUGAGACAUAUAGUUUCGAUCUUCAAGGGAACUAAUAACAAUCAAGUCAGCGAAAUAGGCUUGGUUGUUAGAGGAACAAAAUCUAAUAGUAAUCAAGUCAGCGAAAUAGGCUUGGUUGCUAGAGGAACAUAAGAGAAACUGUCUUGAGAAAUUAGGUCUAACAUAACAUUAUAAGCUUAUAGUUUUGGUUUGAGAAGGACUUGUUAUUUAGAUGAAACCAACGAUCCCAAGGCUCUUUUUAUUAUAUUAAUUUUUCAACCGUUUGAAAACCCCCAACUUACAAUUCUCUUCUCUUCUAAUCAUCUCUAAAGGUUAAUUGAAUUAAACUACUCCCUGUCGGAACGAUACUCUUUCAAUACUACUUCGGUAAGACCGUGCACUUGCGGUUUUAUCUCAUCACUUAGCUUAAGUAAGCAAUCACCCAAAACUGGCCAUGAAAACUAAUUCCUUUGUUUCAUGCAGCAUUGGAAUCUAAAAUUACGUCAUUUGAGAUGCCUAAAGUAAGUAGCGUAGACUAUCAAAAGCGUUGAAUGUGUGGAAGACUGUAUAAAUGUGCUUCAGAAAUUGGAAUUAGCUAGCUAACUCCUCCAUGAACAUAUAGAACUUAUCUUUAACAUAAAUUUCACUUUUUCUCCCUACAAAGCUCAUAAUGAUCAAUACACGUCCCAAAAUCCUGCUAAUUCUUAGCAACAUCAGUCAAUUGCAAUAAAAAACUAUUAAUAGGACCCUACUUACACAUUCAGUCAGACAUAGGACAAUUGAUUGUAUUAGCAAAGUACCUUAGUGAGAAUACAUUACCAUACCAUUGCUACCGAAUGCCCCUUUAGCAUAACCGUCGCUUGAACCUCUCAAUAUAACACAUUGUGUGGCUGCUGUAGGAGAAACAAUAAUCAAAGGGUACAUAGACUUGUGCUCUACUUAAACUUUUCAUUAGGCUUCUCUGAAAAUUUGAGCAACUAAUUUCUGAAAAGUAACAAAGAAAUGGCUAAGAAAGUUAUACUUACUGAGUAUUUAAUCGAAACAAACUAAAAAAGAACAUUAAAACCUUUAAAAUAAAAUGCAUUUGUUCUAUUUUUGAAAUGUGUUGUUCUCUUAAGAUUUAAAUCACAGAGUUAAACAAAUUUACAUAACAUUGCUUUUCAAGUUUCAGGAAUCACUUUAGCAGCCACAUUUGAAAGUAUAUAUCUAGCAAACCAAGCAAAAGCAAAAUUAAAGAUAGAAGAAGAAUAAGAAGCCAUCUAAAGAAAAAACAACCCAAUGCAAAAAUCACCAAAAUCAUGUAAAAAAAGAAGAGAUAAAAAUCAAUUGAAAGCAAAAUAGAUCUACACACAUCAAUAUAGAUAUUUUUGUCCUAAACAAACAAUUCAAUUCGAGUCCACACAUAUCUGAAGUACAUGAAUAACGAAUAACAAAUUACAAAUGACAAAGCCAUAACCCCCUUAAACUUAUGCCUAUUCUCAAUAAUGCUCUUAACAAUUCUAACCAAGAAAGCUACACCUGCAACAACUAUUAACCGCCUACUGCACCAGACAUAUAAUGUAACUAAACAUACCAAUUACCACAAAUUGAGACAUGACCAAGAGCCUAAAAAAAUACAUAUGGCUUUCCUUCUAAAAAAGUAUCAGCAUUACACACGUAAAGUAUCAACACAACACAUCUAUGACAAUUAAUUUUUAAGAAUCAAUUGAUACAUACACAAACGUUGUCAGACCAAUCUACAUGUUCUGUAAUGAAUUAUUCACUACAUGUGGUUAGCAUUCACUAUGCUCUUGCUAUACCUACUUUUGCUUCACAACCAAUAUGAUCUCUACGAUACAUACCUUCACAUCAUAAGUGUUUUAUAAUUAUAUCAAGCAUAGAUAAUGUCAUUUGUAAUCUUUAUGUCAGUUUAUUGCCCAAACAUGGAGAAUGUCGCCAUCUGCCACAAUUAUCCAAGGUGAACAAUAUUGUAAAGUAUUCAACAGUCAAAUGCUUAUUGUCCAAAUGUAAAAAUAAAGUCAUCAUUUUCCCAAUGUCAUUGACACUAAUGUUUGAUGAAGAAAAAAAGAGAAUUGAUUGCUAGAAUAGUCUUUAAUUACCUUUAGGUGAAGCUUGCAAGUGUGUUUGGUUGCAACUCGUACUAUUUGUAUUGGAGCAGAAAGUUAUAUUCCUUGUUUUUUAUAAUUGUCAAGUUGCUUCAUCUCUUGCCAUUUUCUGUAUGACAAUUUAAGUAGGUAAUUUCAUAUGAACUAACAAAGUAAACAUUGAAAAAAAGAAGCAAACCAUAGGCUUUAACAAUAGAUGAGCAAUCAACAUCUUAAUACUGUGACAGUCAAAAUAAUGCCAUAGCAUUCAUAAUGCUUCAGAUUUGAGAAAAAUGUUCUACCACAAUAUCUUCAA
rnacentral:lncRNA from 1 species